UGAACGCUAGCGACAGGCUUAACACAUGCAAGUCGAGGGGUAACAGGGUAGCAAUACCGCUGACGACCGGCGCACGGGUGAGUAACGCGUAUGCAGCCUGCCUAUAACUGGGGAAUAGCUCCCUGAAAGGGGAAUUAACACCGCAUAACACUAUUGAUUCGCAUGGAUUAGUAGUUAAAUGUAGCGAUACAGGUUAUAGAUGGGCAUGCGUGACAUUAGCUAGUUGGUGAGGUAACGGCUCACCAAGGCUACGAUGUCUAGGGGUUCUGAGAGGAAGGUCCCCCCACACUGGUACCGAGACACGGACCAGACUCCUACGGGAGGCAGCAGUGAGGAAUAUUGGUCAAUAGGCGCAAGCCUGAACCAGCCAUGUCGCGUGCAGGAAGAACCUGCCCUAUGGGUUGUAAACUGCUUUUAUAGUAGAAGAAACACAUCUACGUGUAGAUGUCUGCCAGUAUACUAUGAAUAAGCAUCGGCUAACUCCGUGCCAGCCGCCGC
rnacentral:rRNA from 1 species